GAAAUGCGAUAAGUAAUGUGAAUUGCAGAAUCCAGUGAAUCAUCGAAUCUUUGAACGCACAUUGCGCCCGCCAGUACUCUGGCGGGCAUGCCUGUCCGAGCGUCAUUUCAACCCUCGAGCACUGCUCGGCGUUGGGGGCCUGCAGUCCGCUGCAGCCCCCCAAGACCACCGGCGACGUCGCCCGCGGCUCCUUGCGCAGUACAUCUCUCGCACUGGUCCCGCGGCGGCGCUGGCCGCUAAACCCGCCCCAACGGCGCGCGCUUCACACCGCGUGCCCCCACGGCACUCAGAACGGUUGACCUCGGAUCAGGUAGGAAUACCCGCUGAACUUAA
rnacentral:misc_RNA from 1 species